UCAAAAAGCGGAGGAAAAGAAACUAACAAGGAUUCCCCUAGUAACUGCGAGUGAAGCGGGAAAAGCUCAAAUUUAAAAUCUGGUGGUCUUUGGCCAUCCGAAUUGUAAUCUAGAGAAGUGUUAUCCGCGCUGGACCGUGUACAAGUCUCCUGGAAUGGAGCGUCAUAGAGGGUGAGAAUCCCGUCUUUGACACGGACUACAGGGCUUUGUGAUACACUCUCAACGAGUCGAGUUGUUUGGGAAUGCAGCUCAAAAUGGGUGGUAAAUUCCAUCUAAAGCUAAAUAUUGGCAGAGACCGAUAGCGAACAAGUACCGUGAGGGAAAGAUGAAAAGAACUUUGGAAAGAGAGUUAAACAGUACGUGAAAUUGUUGAAAGGGAAACGCUUGAAGUCAGUCGCGUCUUUCAGAAAUCAACCUUACUUUUGUAUGGUGUACUUUCUGAUAGAUGGGUCGCAUCAGUUUUGGUUGCUGGAUAAAGGUUAGAGAAAUGUGGCAUCUUCGGGUGUGUUAUAGUCUCUAAUCAUAUACAGUGGCUGGGACUGAGGAACUCAGCACGCCGUAAGGCCGGGGCUUUUGCUCACGUUCGUGCUUAGGAUGCUGGCAAAAUGGCUUUAAUCGACCCGUCUUGAAACACGGACCAAAGGA
rnacentral:rRNA from 1 species